UACGAGGGGGGCAAAUGUUGUUCGGAAUCACUGGGCGUAAAGCGCACGUAGGCGGCUUUGUAAGUUAGAGGUGAAAGCCCGGGGCUCAACUCCGGAACUGCCUUUAAGACUGCAUCGCUUGAAUCCAGGAGAGGUGAGUGGAAUUCCGAGUGUAGAGGUGAAAUUCGUAGAUAUUCGGAAGAACACCAGUGGCGAAGGCGGCUCACUGGACUGGUAUUGACGCUGAGGUGCGAAAGCGUGGGGAGCAAACAGG
rnacentral:rRNA from 1 species